AGUUUUAUAGUCAAAUAAAUGACGCUAGAUUGCAAAUUUAGAAGUAGGUGUGAAUCCUUAAGGCUU
rnacentral:tRNA from 1 species